ACUUUAGUUGCAAUUCUGCUCUUUCAACAGAUAAGUGAAAGCAAAACUUGGAAAUAAAAAUGAUUCAUUGAAAACUGCAGGAUCUAUCAGUUAAAGCUGCCCUAUUUGGGUUUCCAUGAUAAUGCAGGUAGGCUUCACAGGUGACAAUUGGAAAUUAUCACACCAUCUUUUUUCACUUGAAUUAGAUAAAAUUAGCAUCCAAGAAAUACGAUAGUGCAAAAAAAUGCAGCUCCAGCACUUCAUCAGGACACUCCAUAUCAGAAUCCUACCAAAAGGAUUCAAGCACUAGCUUUUAGGUCUACUUCAGGCAUUUAUUUGCAACACAGCAUUAGAUGUUCUCCUUUUAAGUGAAAGGCCAGAGUGCUGCUAGCAGCUAGACCCCCAGAAGUUUACUAAAACUCACAACAGAAGUAUGAGAUCAGGACUAAAAGAAGUGGUGAAAGAUUCUUGAGAAAGCAUACUACUUGGGGCGCAAGGGGAAAUCUCUCUGCUUUUCUCAUCCUUCAGAGGUGUAUUUCUGUGAGCCCUAGCAUACCUCCUGACCCUUAUCAUGCUGCUAAAGUUGGGAAGUGCACAAGUCUCCCCAUGGCAAGAUGUCCCUGGUGCCUCACUCAGGCUCAUGCCCUGCAUUAAUACCUCUUGGGAGGACUCCACAAAGCUUCAGACUUUACAACAAGAAUGUGGCAGCGCAAUCCACAGCAGGAGCUUCCUGCGAGCUUAGAGGAAUUGCCCAGAGGCAACUUGCACCCAGUUGAAGAAGCAGACAAGAGGUACUUAAACACCUGUGCUGUAGUAGCCUUUGACAAGCCUUAGACAGCAAUAGAAAUGGUAAAGGUACGCUUUUCUCCUGUGAAAAUCCCGAUUACUCAAGUAAGCAAGAUAUCUGUCGUCUCCUUUCUCACAAUACACGUCUACCUUUUAUACAAGGGAAAUGGAGUGGUAAUAAGUCACUUGCUUCUAUCCCAGAGAAAGAGAGACUGUACAAAGGAUGCUAAGACAUUCUGGUUGAGGUUUACAUUAAGUAAAAUAGCACCCUGCUACUCUCCUGUCCCUCCAUACUCCCUCUGAGUUCUUAUGAAACAGGACUGCCUCCAUCUAUUAAGGAGAGGCCCAGAAAUAGCUUUCUAGAUGUUUGCUGUCUUUCCGGUCAUUUCUUCUAUGUUGUUAUACAGACUAUGCACCAUUUGUUAUCUUCUAUGGCAUGUGUCAGAGCAUGUUUCUGCUGCAAUAUGCUGUCAUUAAAGGUUUGGUCACUGUGGUGCCAGACCAUGGAAUAAGUAACAGAAGGAGCUGCAUCUGCAAAAGAGCCAAGUGACCGCAUCACUGCCAGAAAGCACAACAGUUGCAAAGUUGCCUGGCUGCUUGUUUCAGAACAAGAAGUGAACUCGCUCAAUGCCAGAGGCUGGAUUGCUUGCUCCCCUGUCCUCUCAUUAGAUUGCAACCUGCAUGCCGGAUGGCAGAACUACCAUCACCCUCUUUCCCUUUUGCUCCUUUAUUAACUAGACACAAGUGUCUGACAGCUACUACUGAUUAGAGUAUGGCAAUUAAAAGUGAACUUAAUUCCACUUCAUCCUUUGCUUCUACCAUACAGAAGAUAUUUUUCCUACUCCUGACAAGGCUUUUCAUCAACUCCUGAUCCUUCAGUCAUCUUUCCUCCUCCACCUCAUGCUCCCAUGCCAUCCCACCUCUGGAACUACAGCAGCUCUCCUCUGACCUCCGCAGCACACAACUCCUGCUGGCUGUGGGGUCUGCAGCAGGAGGGCUGUGGGAACCAGGGGUGGGACAGAUUCUGGCCCUACAGCCUUGUCUUGCUUCACCUCACAGCACUACUCAUAUAUUCCCAUUAUGCAGGGCCUGCAUGAAACUCCACAAGGUACUGUUGUUUCUUCAAACCAUUAAACAUGUGUUCAGAGACUAAUUCCUACUUUCAAGGAUCCCUGCUGACAACAGGAUUUUUGCAGGCUGUGAGUUAAAGAACCUAUUUGCAGGAAAUUACUGUGCAGCUCCUACACAGUAAUUACACUGACAGCUCCUCAGUCAUCUCUCUCAAACACAUCCAAGUUCAAUACCUGUUUUAAGACCAUGAAAGAAUAUCUAUAACAAAAAAAAAAAAAAGUAAACACAUGAAAGCAUUCUAGAUCAUGAGUAAUACAGAAUGUGAUCCUCCUAGGCGAUGAAAGUGGCUGAAACUCAUCAGCCGCUUCUAAAUAAUUCAGAAUGUUGUUUGACCACAUCUAAGCUCAGUGUUAAUUUGUACUCUUGCUUUCCUCUUGAGUAAUGUGUAACUGAACGUUGAUUAAUUCAGUGAUUAAUCUCAAGUAGAAAUAAAGUAAAUAGUUUCAAGGUGGAUGUAACAGUCACAAGUGGGUUUAAGCAUGGUAGCAUGCAGUCCUGUACCAAAGACAUUCAAUUUCAGUUUAUUAAGCUUUUACUUAGAUUCACCCUAAACUGUGUACAAAAGCCUUCCUCUUUCUUUCCCUUUAGAAAUCCACAGGGUAGUCUGGACACUGCAUCCAUAGAUACAGCAAUUUGGGGAAGCUUUAUUUUAAAGUGAUAUUACAAACAUAUGUUUUCAUAAACCAAGCUUUUUUUU